rnacentral:sRNA from 1 species
GCGUACAGAGUAGUCAAGCAUGACC